UGGGGAAUAUUGCACAAUGGACGGAAGUCUGAUGCAGCGACGCCGCGUGGGGGAUGAAGGCUUUCGGGUUGUAAACUCCUUUCAGUACAGAAGAAGCUUUAUUGUGACGGUAUGUGCAGAAGAAGCGCCGGCUAACUACGUGCCAGCAGCCGCGGUAAUACGUAGGGCGCGAGCGUUGUCCGGAAUUAUUGGGCGUAAAGAGCUCGUAGGCGGUUUGUCGCGUCUGCUGUGAAAGACCGGGGCUUAACUCCGGGGCUGCAGUGGGUACGGGCAGGCUGGAGUGCGGUAGGGGUAACCGGAAUUCCUGGUGUAGCGGUGAAAUGCUUAGAUAUCAUGAAGAACUCCGAUUGCGAAGGCAGCUUACGGGAGCGCAACUGACGCUGAAGCUCGAAGGUGCGGGUAUCGAACAGG
rnacentral:rRNA from 1 species